rfam:Albugo candida, Ac Nc2, WGS project CAIX01000000 data, contig: AcNc2_CONTIG_68_length_93419
GGGGAUGUAGCACAGAUGGUAGAGCGUUCGCUUCGCAUGCGAAAGGUCCCGGGAUCGAUACCCGGCGUCUCCA